AAGUAGUAUUAGAUAAGAUCUUGAAACUUAAGAAAUUUGGCGGUAUUUUAUCUUUUUAGAGGAAUCUGUUUAUUAAUUGAUAAUCCACGAUUUAAUUUACUUUUAUUUUAAAUUUGUAUACCGCUGUCAUGAAUAUAUUAAUAAAUCUAUUUUCGUAAAUUAUAUUAAUUUAAUGUUAAGUCAAGGUGCAGUAUAUAAAGAUUAAAUGGAUUACAUUAUAAAUUAUGAAUGAUAAUUAAAUUAAUUUGAAAAAGAAUUUAAAAGUAAAAUAGUAAAAAUAAUAUAAUGAAGAAAGAUUCUAAAAUAUG
rnacentral:rRNA from 1 species